AACGAACGCUGGCGGCAUGCUUAACACAUGCAAGUCGAACGAGACCUUCGGGUCUAGUGGCGCACGGGUGCGUAACGCGUGGGAAUCUGCCCUUAGGUACGGAAUAACUCAGAGAAAUUUGUGCUAAUACCGUAUGAUGUCGAAAGACCAAAGAUUUAUCGCCUAAGGAUGAGCCCGCGUAAGAUUAGCUUGUUGGUGAGUUAAAAGCUCACCAAGGCGACGAUCUUUAGCUGGUCUGAGAGGAUGAUCAGCCACACUGGGACUGAGACAAGGCCCAGACUACUACGGGAGGCGGCAGCGGGGAAUAUUGGACAAUGGGCGAAAGCCUGAUCCAGCAAUGCCGCGUGAGUGAUGAAGGCCUUAGGGUUGUAAAGCUCUUUUACCAGGGAUGAUAAUGACAGUACCUGGAGAAUAAGCUCCGGCUAACUCCGUGCCAGCAGCCGCCGUAA
rnacentral:rRNA from 1 species